rnacentral:rRNA from 1 species
CCUACGGGUGGCAGCAGUAGGGAAUAUUGCACAAUUGGGGAAACCCUGAUGCAGCGACGCCGCGUGCGUGAAGAAGUAAUUCGUUAUGUAAAGCUCUAUCAGCAGGGAAGAAAAUGACGGUACCUGAGUAAGAAGCCCCGGCUAACUACGUGCCAGCAGCCGCGGUAAUCCGUAGGGGGCCAGCGUUAUCCGGAUUUCCUGGGUGUAAAGGGAGCGUAGACGGCAGUGCAAGUCUGGAGUGAAAGGCGGGGGCUCAACCCACGGACUGCGCGGGAAACUGUACGGCGGGAGUGCAGGAGAGGUAAGUGGAAUUCGUAGGGUAGCGGUGAAAUGCGUAGAUAUUAGGAGGAACGCCAGUGGCGAAGGCGGCUUACUGGACUGUAACUGACGUUGAGGCUCGAAAGCGUGAGGAGCAAACAGGAUUAGAUACCCGAGUAGUC